rnacentral:rRNA from 1 species
CAGUAGCCGCGGGAAUACGGAGGGUGCAAGCGUUAAUCGGAAUUACUGGGCGUAAAGCGCACGCAGGCGGUCUGUCAAGUCAGAUGUGAAAUCCCCGGGCUUAACCUGGGAACUGCAUUUGAAACUGGCAGGCUAGAGUCUUGUAGAGGGGGGUAGAAUUCCAGGUGUAGCGGUGAAAUGCGUAGAGAUCUGGAGGAAUACCGGUGGCGAAGGCGGCCAUCUGGCCUAAUACUGACGCUGAGGUACGAAAGCAUGGGGAGCAAACAGGAUUAGAUACCCCCGUAGUCCUGUCUCUUAUACA